rnacentral:rRNA from 1 species
UACGGGGGGGGCAAGCGUUGUUCGGAAUUACUGGGCGUAAAGGGCUCGUAGGCGGCCAACUAAGUCAGACGUGAAAUCCCUCGGCUUAACCGGGGAACUGCGUCUGAUACUGGAUGGCUUGAAUCCGGGAGAGGGAUGCGGAAUUCCAGGUGUAGCGGUGAAAUGCGUAGAUAUCUGGAGGAACACCGGUGGCUAAGGCGGCUCUCUAGUACGGUACUGACGCUGAGACGCGAAAGCGUGGGGAGCGAACAGG